rnacentral:rRNA from 1 species
AGCGGCGAGUGAAGCGGCAAAAGCUCAAAUUUGAAAUCUGGCACCUUCGGUGUCCGAGUUGUAAUUUGAAGAUUGUAACCUUGGGGUUGGCUCUUGUCUAUGUUUCUUGGAACAGGACGUCACAGAGGGUGAGAAUCCCGUGCGAUGAGAUGCCCAAUCCUAUGUAAGGUGCUUUCGAAGAGUCGAGUUGUUUGGGAAUGCAGCUCUAAGUGGGUGGUAAAUUCCAUCUAAAGCUAAAUAUUGGCGAGAGACCGAUAGCGAACAAGUACAGUGAUGGAAAGAUGAAAAGAACUUUGAAAAGAGAGUGAAAAAGUACGUGAAAUUGUUGAAAGGGAAGGGUUUGAGAUCAGACUCGAUAUUUUGUGAGCCUUGCCUUCGUGGCGGGGUGACCCGCAGCUUAUCGGGCCAGCAUCGGUUUGGGCGGUAGGAUAAUGGCGUAGGAAUGUGACUUUGCUUCGGUGAAGUGUUAUAGCCUGCGUUGAUGCUGCCUGCCUAGACCGAGGACUGCGAUUUUAUCAAGGAUGCUGGCAUAAUGAUCCCAAACCGCCCGUCUUGAA